CAACUACUCUAAACUUAAGCCCACCACUUGAGCCCAACCCUACCUUUCUUCCUCUAAAUCCUCCCCCCCUUGUUGCUCACAGAUCACUCACGCGCGCGCGCGCGCGCACACACACACACUCCUCACCAACAGCCAUCGCCUCCCUCACAAGCCCGGCCGCCGCCCGAGAUUCCCGCCGUCGACACAACCAUGGCCGUGUCUCUGCCCCUCUCUCGCUCAUCUCACAAAUUCUCCCUCAAAUAAACCAUCGAAUCAGAGCCUUAGAUCCCCAAUUCGUGGCCCUCUCUCCACUCUCUUCCUAUGUCCGGUGACAGCAACGACUCUGCACCUUGCUUCCGUCAACCUCGCCACCCCUCUGUCUCACCCUGUCUCCCUGCGUCGGACGGCUCAGCGGCUUCACGCCACCGCCGCUGCACUUAUAGCCCUAUCUCGACGACAACAACGGCUCCUUGUCGGCGCCGCGCCCUCACCGACUUUCUCUCAUCCUUUUCUCGGCAGACGGACAGUAGUUAGGACCACCGCCGUCUCCGCCCUCUGUUUUCCCGGCGAGCAGCAGCCACAAGGCAGCCGCCACUGCCCUUUUCCCUUAUAUUCUAACUCAGACGGCGAUAACGAGCCGCCGCCGACUCUACCCCGACUCUGACUUCACACUCACAAAUACAGCAGCCCCGACAUCAAACGAAGUUCAAAGACUCAUCUUUUCUUUUUUUCUUUUCAUUUUCUGUUCUUAUUGAACAUCCAAAAUUCUUGUUUAUCAGCAUAUAUGAAGUUCACAUUUAUAUUCAGUUUCCAUAAUAAGCACAUAAAUAAAACAUGUUGUGAAACUGAAUGAAAUGAUAAUACGUUUGGAAGAAUUGAAACCUUAAGGAUCUAUGGUGGUUGUGUUUGGUAGUUUUUGUGAAUCGAGG
rnacentral:lncRNA from 1 species